rnacentral:rRNA from 1 species
UACGUAGGGGGCUAGCGUUGUCCGGAAUCAUUGGGCGUAAAGCGCGUGUAGGCGGUCCGGUAAGUCCGCUGUGAAAGUCGAGGGCUCAACCCUCGAAUGCCGGUGGAUACUGUCGGGCUUGAGUACGGGAGAGGCGAGUGGAAUUCCUGGUGUAGCGGUGAAAUGCGCAGAUAUCAGGAGGAACACCGGUGGCGAAGGCGGGUCUCUGGGCAACAACUGACGCUGAGGAGCGAAAGCGUGGGGAGCGAACAGG